ACGCACGCUGGCGGCGUGCUUAACACAUGCAAGUCGAACGGAAAGGCCCUGCUUUUGUGGGGUGCUCGAGUGGCGAACGGGUGAGUAACACGUGAGUAACCUGCCCUUGACUUUGGGAUAACUUCAGGAAACUGGGGCUAAUACCGGAUAGGAGCUCCUGCUGCAUGGUGGGGGUUGGAAAGUUUCGGCGGUUGGGGAUGGGCUCGCGGCUUAUCAGCUUGUUGGUGGGGUAGUGGCUUACCAAGGCUUUGACGGGUAGCCGGCCUGAGAGGGUGACCGGCCACAUUGGGACUGAGAUACGGCCCAGACUCCUACGGGAGGCAGCAGUGGGGAAUAUUGCACAAUGGGCGGAAGCCUGAUGCAGCAACGCCGCGUGCGGGAUGACGGCCUUCGGGUUGUAAACCGCUUUCGCCUGUGACGAAGCGUGAGUGACGGUAAUGGGUAAAGAAGCACCGGCUAACUACGUG
rnacentral:rRNA from 1 species